UUCGCUCAAAACCCAUUCCAGAAAGUUUUCAUCCUCUUCACAUGCAGUAAAUCAAGAAGCUUCUCAUCAAUUUAUACCACCAAAAAUAUAGUAUAAUUUUGCUCAGACUGAUGCUGCAAUUUUCAGAUAUCAGGUUUAACUUUGUGUUGCAGUGAUUGUGUACAUAUGUGUGUUCAAUCUCUUUAAUUCAAAUUGAGAUGGCAGUUAAAUCUACUAUCAAGUCAAUCACUCCAAAAACUGAGGAUUGGAUAUGCAAAAUUCAAGUAGUAGAUAAAUAUCCUCCCAGAGACAAGAAAGACAAAAGUGGAAAAUACCAACUGAUGGUUUUGCAAGACGAAGAGGAAAAUCAAAUUCAAGCCAUCAUUUGGAAUGUUGAUAUAAUGCAGUUUGACAAGUAUUUCAAACCAUUCUAAACAUACCUGGUGUCAGUUGCAUAAGUAAAAGAACCGAAUCUUGCAUAUGCUAAUGCAUUCAACAAAUACAUUUGGACAAUUGACAGAAAUACUAUUGUUGAACCAAUUGAAAAAGUCAUUCCUCCAGAUAAUCCACUACCACCGUCAACACGACUGACUAUCACCCUUUUUGAGGCUAUUGAGUAUCAAAUGAAAGAUUUUGAAUUUGAUGUCCUUGGACUACUUAUUAAUGCUGGACUUGCAAGUAACACAUCAAAUGGGAAGAAAUUCCAAGAAUUCAUCAUUAUGGAUACUCAAAAAAGGCCUAAAAAGCUAACACUUUGGGAGGACUCUGUCGAACAUUAUGGAAAUGAACUUUCAGAGAAAGUGAAACACUAUCCCGUCUUCCUGGCUAGAAGAGUGAUAAAAUCAUCAUCAGGGAUAUGGAGCAGAAACAACACAACAAUACUCUUACAUCCCACAUAUCCAGAAGCUACUACAUUAGC